rnacentral:rRNA from 1 species
AGCGAACGCUAGCGGCGGGCUUAACACAUGCAAGUCGAGCGGAGAGCUUCGGCUCUCAGCGGCGAACGGGUGAGUAACACGUAGGUCACGUACCCUUUGAUGGGGAAUAACCUAGGGAAACCUGGGCUAAUACCGCAUAUGUCCUUCGGGAUGAAAGCCUUCGGGCGUCAGAGGAUCGGCCUGCGGCCCAUUAUUUAAUCCUAGUUGGUAGGGUAAUGGCCUACCAAGGGUACGAUGGGUAGCUGGUCUCGAGAGGAUGAUCAGCCACACUGGAACUGAGACACGGUUCAGACUCCUACGGGAGGCAGCAGUGGGGAAUAUUGGACAAUGGGCGAAAGCCUGAUCCAGCCACGCCGCGUGGGUGAUGAAGGCCUUCGGGUUGUAAAGCCCUGUCGGGAGGGACGAAUCAAUGACGGUACCUCCCAAGAAAGCACCGGCUAACUCCGUG